rnacentral:rRNA from 1 species
UGCCAGCAGCCGCGGUAAUACGGAGGGGGCUAGCGUUGUUCGGAAUCACUGGGCGUAAAGCGCAUGUAGGCGGAUCAAAAAGUUAGAUGUGAAAUCCCUAGGCUUAACUUAGGAACUGCAUUUAAAACUAGUGAUCUUGAAUUUGGCAGAGGAUAGUAGAAUUUCCAGUGUAGAGGUGAAAUUCGUAGAUAUUGGAAAGAAUACCAGAGGCGAAGGCGACUAUCUGGACCAACAUUGACGCUGAGAUGCGAAAGCGUGGGUAGCAAACAGGAUUAGAUA